rnacentral:rRNA from 1 species
GAUGAACGCUAGCGGCAGGCUUAAUACAUGCAAGUCGAGGGGCAGCAUGAGUGUAGCAAUACAUUUGAUGGCGACCGGCAAACGGGUGCGGAACACGUACAGAACCUUCCUUCGAGCGGGGAAUAGCCCAGAGAAAUUUGGAUUAAUACCCCAUUGUAUUACGGAGUGGCAUCACUUUGUAAUUAAAGAUUUAUCACUUAAAGAUGGCUGUGGGGUUGAUUAGGUAGUUGGCGGGGUAAUGGCCCACCAAGACUGCGGUCAGUAACUGGUGUGAGAGAACGACCAGUCACACGGGCAGUGAGAAACGGGUCCGACUCCUACGGGAGGCAGCAGUAAGGAAUAUUGGUCAAUGGACGAGAGGCUGAACCAGCCAUGCCGCGUGGAGGACGAAGGUCCUCUGGAGUGUAAACUUCUUUUAUAUGGGACGAAAAAAGGCUUUUCUAAGUCGUCUGACGGUACCAUAUGAAUAAGCACCGGCUAACUCCGUGCCAGCAGCCGCCGUAA